UCAUGGCUGAAGCACUGAUUGAUCACCUGAGGCGAGCACUGAGUCAGCCAUGGAGCACAGGUGAAGGCAAUUCAGCUGUGUGAUGGAAGGGGUGGAGCCUGGCUGCACCUCUCCUAGACCUAUUUAAGUGCUGACUGCCGCUGGGGAAGGGUCUCUUUCUGGAGAUCACUUUCUUCGGAGUUUUUUCUGUGAGCCAAGGACACGGGUGAGCAUUUUCAUUUAUUUUUUAUUAUCCCCUUUCCACUGUGAUAAUCCUUCUAGUUACAUGACCUGUAAAAUGCUAACUGUGCCACUCUGCUAAUUGUACUUGUUGAUUGUGCAGCAUGUAAGCGGGCUGUGGAAACCAGGAGUUGAGCACAGAGCAGUCCCACACAGGUCUGCAUCAGGUGCAAUUCACUGAACAUCUUUGACAGAUAAACUUUUAUAUUAAUCUAGAAGAUAUUGCCAAGUUAGUAGGAAUCAUGCUUGUUUAAAUAGGAACUCAGACUGACUUGCAGUAAGAAGUACUUCAUUUCAAAUGGUAUUGUAUCCCCGUUCAUUUUGUUUUAACUGAACUGCUCAGAAAUAUUUAAACAAAGAGCAAAAUCUUAGCAACUACAACAGGAUUCAGAGGACACUGUGUCAAAUUGAAGGGGAGAGGGAUUUGCAUUUCCAAAAAAAAAAAAAAGCAAGGAAAAUGAUGCAGCUGCAGGGCCACUGCCAUCUAGCGAGGCGCAGCUGUGUGCUGCACAGCAGGACUGGGGGGCUGAGGGCAGCCAUGGCUGCUUUCUCUCCCUCCACCCAACUGAAGGUCAGGGAAUGGCAUCCAGAAGUUACUGACAGUACUGACACAUUUAUUUCCUUUUUGUUGUUGUUGUUGUUUUUUCUUGGUUUUAUUUUGUUUGUUGUUUUGUUGGUUUUUUUUUUACUACAACAUGUAAAGGGAUUUUUUUUAAAUUCUCUUAAGGAAUACUUCACCUGUACAUCAUGUAUGAAAUAGGGAUGUGAAUGUUAUAUACUCUUCUUUAUCAAAUGUUUCGAGCACUUAACUUGCUUUGUAAACAGUGUUUGGGGGCUUUUUGUUCUUAUUGUUUUAUAUAAAUCAAAUGUUUAUUGCUGCAAAUAAAAUAACACCGACUCAAA